CUACUUACCUGGCAGGGGAGAUACCAUGAUCACGUAGGUGGUUUUCCCAGGGUGAGGCUCAGCCACUGAACUUCGGCUGUGCUGACCCCUGCGAUUUCCCCAAAUGCGGGAAACUCGACUGCAUAAUUGGUGGUAGUGGGGGACUGCGUUCACGCCCUCCCCUG
rnacentral:snRNA from 1 species